rnacentral:rRNA from 1 species
GAUGAACGCUGACAGAAUGCUUAACACAUGCAAGUCGAUUCGAUUUACCUUCGGGUAUUGAGGAUGGCGGACGGGUGAGUAACGCGUAAGGAACUUGCCUCUUGGACUGGGACAACUGUUGGAAACGACAGCUAAUACCGGAUAUUAUGAGAUUCUCGCAUGGGAAACUUAUGAAAGCUAUAUGCGCCAAGAGAGAGCCUUGCGUUCCAUUAGCUAGUUGGUGGGUAACGGCCCACCAAGGCGACGAUGGAUAGCCGGCCUGAGAGGGUGAACGGCCACAAGGGGACUGAGACACGGCCCUUACUCCUACGGGAGCAGCAGUGGGGAAUAUUGGACAAUGGGCCACAAGCCUGAUCCAGCAAUUCUGUGUGCACGAUGAAGGUCUUCGGAUCGUAAAGUGCUUUCAGUUGGG